AACGCGAAGAACCUUACCUAAGCUUGACAUCCUGGUGACCUCUCCCUAAUCGGAGAUUUCCCUUCGGGGACACCAGUGACAGGUGGUGCAUGGUUGUCGUCAGCUCGUGUCGUGAGAUGUUGGGUUAAGUCCCGCAACGAGCGCAACCCUUGUCUUUAGUUGCCAGCAUUUAGUUGGGCACUCUAGAGAGACUGCCAGGGAUAACCUGGAGGAAGGUGGGGAUGACGUCAAAUCAUCAUGCCCCUUAUGCUUAGGGCUACACACGUGCUACAAUGGGUGGUACAGAGGGCUGCUAAACCGUAAGGUCAUGCCAAUCCCUUAAAGCCAUUCUCAGUUCGGAUUGUGGGCUGAAACUCGCCCACAUGAAGCUGGAGUUACUAGUAAUCGCAGAUCAGAAUGCUGCGGUGAAUGCGUUCCCGGGCCUUGUA
rnacentral:rRNA from 1 species